rnacentral:rRNA from 1 species
UACGAAGGGGGCUAGCGUUGUUCGGAUUUACUGGGCGUAAAGCGCACGUAGGCGGCUAUUCAAGUCGGGGGUGAAAGCCCGGGGCUCAACCCCGGAACUGCCCUCGAAACUAGAUAGCUAGAAUCUUGGAGAGGCGAGUGGAAUUCCGAGUGUAGAGGUGAAAUUCGUAGAUAUUCGGAAGAACACCAGUGGCGAAGGCGACUCGCUGGACAAGUAUUGACGCUGAGGUGCGAAAGCGUGGGGAGCAAACAGG